rnacentral:pre_miRNA from 1 species
UACAUACUCCCUCCGUCCGAAAAUACUUGUCUUAAAAAUGAAUAUAAUGGAUGUAUUUAUAACUAAAAUAAGUCUAGAUUCAUUCAUUUCUAGGACAAGUAUUUUUGAACGGAGGGAGUACGUU